ACUCAGCCCCCAACCAGGCCCCCUGAGGCCUGGUGUGCGCCAGCUGCACACAGCAGACCCCGUGGCAGUGCCUGUAGCUGGUGGUUGGUCCAGGUUGCCCAAAAGGACCGUGGACGCAGUU
rnacentral:snoRNA from 1 species